AUACUUAUUGGCAGGAGAAAUGCCAAGAUCUCAGAGGUGGUUUUCCCAGGGCAAGGCUUAGCCAUUGCACUCCAGAUAUGCUGACCCUUGUGAUUUCCCCAAAUGUGGGAAACUCAUCUGCAUAAUUUGUGGUAGUGGGAGACUGCAUUCAGGCUCUCCCCUU